AAAGGGUCCGUACGCGGUCUUGUAAGUCAGUGGUGAAAGCCCAUCGCUCAACGGUGGAACGGCCAUUGAUACUGCAGGACUUGAAUUAUUGGGAAGUAACUAGAAUAUGUAGUGUAGCGGUGAAAUGCUUAGAGAUUACAUGGAAUACCAAUUGCGAAGGCAGGUUACUACCAAUCGAUUGACGCUGAUGGACGAAAGCGUGGGUAGCGAACAGGAUUAGAUACCCUGGUAGUCCACGCCGUAAACGAUGGAUACUAGCUGUUGGGGGCAACUUCAGUGGCUAAGCGAAAGUGAUAAGUAUCCCACCUGGGGAGUACGAACGCAAGUUUGAAACUCAAAGGAAUUGACGGGGGCCCGCACAAGCGGUGGAGCAUGUGGUUUAAUUCGAUGAUACGCGAGGAACCUUACCAAGGCUUAAAUGCAGACUGACCGAUUUGGAAACAGAUCUUUCGCAAGACAGUUUACAAGGUGCUGCAUGGUUGUCGUCAGCUCGUGCCGUGAGGUGUCAGGUUAAGUCCUAUAACGAGCGCAACCCCUGUUGUUAGUUGCCAGCGAGUCAUGUCGGGAACUCUAACAAGACUGCCAGUGCAAACUGUGAGGAAGGUGGGGAUGACGUCAAAUCAUCACGGCCCUUACGCCUUGGGCUACACACGUGCUACAAUGGCCGGUACAGAGAGCAGCCACUGGGCGACCAGGAGCGAAUCUAUAAAGCCGGUCACAGUUCGGAUCGGAGUCUGCAACUCGACUCCGUGAAGCU
rnacentral:rRNA from 1 species